GUCCCUAUGUGUCCUUAUGUAUCUCUAUGGGGUCCCAAUGGCUCUCUAUGUGUCCCUAUGGGGUCGCUAUGGGAUUUGGGGUCUGUAUGGGAUUUGGGGUCGCUAUGGGGUCUGUGUGUCCCGCAGUGGGGCUGCUGGAUCACCCCUGGUUCCACGGCACGCUGUGUCUAUGGGGUCCCUAUGGGUCCCUAUGAGUCCCUAUGGGGUCCCAAUGGGAUUUGGGGUCCCUAUGGGUCCCAAUGUGUCCCUAUGAGUCCCUAUGGGGUCCCUAUGGGAUUUGGGGUCCCUAUGGG
rnacentral:lncRNA from 1 species